rnacentral:rRNA from 1 species
GACGAACGCUGGCGGCGUGCUUAACACAUGCAAGUCGAACGGAAAGGCCCUGCUUUUGUGGGGUGAUCGAGUGGCGAACGUGUGAGUAACACGUGAGUAACCUGCCCUUGACUUUGGGAUAAAUUCAGGUAACUGGGGCUAAUACCGGAUAGGAGCUCCUGCUGCAUGGUGGGGGUUGGAAAGUUUCGGCGGUUGGGGAUGAACUCGCGGCUUAUCAGCUUGUUGGUGGGGUACUGGCUUACCAAGGCUUUGACGGGUAGCCGGCCUGAGAGGGUGACCGGCCACAAGGGGACUGAGAUACAGCCCAGACUCCUACGGGAAGCAGCAGUGGGGAAUAUUGCACAAUGGGCAGAAGCCUGAUGCAGCAACGCCGCGUGCGAGAUGACGGCCUUCGGGUUGUAAACCGCUUUCGCCUGUGACGAAGCGUGAGUGACGGUAAUGGGUAAAGAAGCACCGGCUAACUACGUG